AACCUCCGCAAUGUGAGAAAUCGCGACGGGGGGAUCCCAAGUGCCAUUCUUAACGGGAUGGCUUUUCUUAAGUGUAAAAAGCUUUUGGAAUAAGAGCUGGGCAAGACCGGUGCCAGCCGCCGCGGUAACACCGGCAGCUCUAGUGGUAGCUGUUUUUAUUGGGCCUAAAGCGUUCGUAGCCGGUUUGAUAAGUCACUGGUGAAAUCCUGUAGCUUAACUGUGGGAAUUGCUGGUGAUACUGUUGAACUUGAGGUCGGGAGAGGUUAGCGGUACUCCCAGGGUAGAGGUGAAAUUCUGUAAUCCUGGGAGGACCACCUGUGGCGAAGGCGGCUAACUGGAACGAACCUGACGGUGAGGGACGAAAGCUAGGGGCGCGAACCGGAUUAGAUACCCGGGUAGUCCUAACUGUAAACGAUGCGGACUUGGUGUUGGGGUGGCUUUGAGCUGCUCCAGUGCCGAAGGGAAGCUGUUAAGUCCGCCGCCUGGGAAGUACGGUCGCAAGACUGAAACUUAAAGGAAUU
rnacentral:rRNA from 1 species